GAUGCACGCUGGCGGCGUGCCUAAUACAUGCAAGUCGAGCGAACGGACGAGAAGCUUGCUUCUCUGAUGUUAGCGGCGGACGGGUGAGUAACACGUGGAUAACCUACCUAUAAGACUGGGAUAACUUCGGGAAACCGGAGCUAAUACCGGAUGAUAUUUUGAACCGCAUGGUUCAAAAGUGAAAGACGGUCUUGCUGUCACUUAUAGAUGGAUCCGCGCUGCAUUAGCUAGUUGGUAAGGUAACGGCUUACCAAGGCAACGAUGCAUAGCCGACCUGAGAGGGUGAUCGGCCACACUGGAACUGAGACACGGUCCAGACUCCUACGGGAGGCAGCAGUAGGGAAUCUUCCGCAAUGGGCGAAAGCCUGACGGAGCAACGCCGCGUGAGUGAUGAAGGUCUUCGGAUCGUAAAACUCUGUUAUUAGGGAAGAACAUAUGUGUAAGUAACUGUGCACAUCUUGACGGUACCUAAUCAGAAAGCCACGGCUAACUACGUG
rnacentral:rRNA from 1 species